UGUCAGUACACCAGAGAACAAGAUGACGCUGCUGCACUGUCCAAGUGGGGAACAGGAAGUUCCGGGUCGAAACGACAGAACGGUGCUGUUGUGUCGAUAGUGGUUGUGUCCGUUUCAAAUGUAUCAUUGCAGACCGACUCAGAUUAAGUCUGAGGCCAGUAACAUCAACAGUGAGGACAAACACAGCCUGCCUCUCUCCUUCCACACUGAGUAGAAACCUACAGUCACUGGGUCCUGAUUGUGACAGUGGAGCCCAGUUUGCUCUGCAGGAUCCAGAGAUGGCAUCCGUGAAGCUGGAAGACUGCAGUCAAACACUGGAGCUGAAUGUCAACCUUAAAGAUGAAGAAGAGGAGGAGAACAAUAGGACAACUGUUAGAACCUGCUCUUACCAUGACUAUCUAUAAGUUGUCUUCAUAUAUUAGACCUCCAUAAGUUAUGACCAGUCUAUUGCUAGGUUGAAUUCUGUAAUUCUGACAUCUCACAUCCCUGAACAACUCAAGACUUCACAGUGAAGCAAAAACACUUUAAACUUGUAUCGCCUGCCUUUGCCCACACAUUGUCUCAAGAACGUUGAAAAUGUUUAAUACCCUCAAUCACCAAGUUAGGCAUACCUCAUUUCAAAAUAGGCCAUGGCAUCAUCACUGUCAAUAUUGAAUUUUGAUUUGUUUGCUGCACAGAAUAUCAGAUCUCAACAACGAUUGGAGAAGUGUUGAACAUAACCAGUAGACUACCACAUCCUGAUGAUUUAUAUCUGAUACAUAUAUAUUUAAUAUUUUAUAGAUCAAAUUGUAGAAACAUCUCAAGGAUGAUCAAUGGAAACAGGAUGCACCUGAGCUCAAUUCAAAAGUUUGGGGUCACUUAACACCAGUCUCAACGUCAACAGUGAAGAAGCGACUCCGGGAUGCUGGCCUUCUAGGCAGAGUUGUAAAGGCCAGUUUUAUUGCUUCUUUAGUCUGAACCACAGUUGAACGUCAUGCGUCCUCCUAUACACAACCCAAACAAGCCGCGCUGCUUCUUAACACAGAGUCUCUUGUGGCACAGCUGGCGCUGCAGUACAGCGCCCUUAACCACUGCGCCACCCGGGAGGCCCUCAAAAGGGUUAUCAAAUUAUCAAUUAGCCUUUUAAAAUGAUCAACUUGGAUUAGGUAACACAACGUGCCAUUGGAUCACAGGAGUGAUGGUUGCUGAUAAUGGGCCUCUGUUCACCUAUGUAGAUAUUCCAUAAAAUAUCUGCCGUUUCCAGCUACAAUAGUCAGUUACAACAAUAACAAUGUCUUCACUGUAUUUCUGAUCAAUUUUAUGUUAUUUUAAUGGACAAACAAUGUGCUUUUCUUUCAAAACAAGGACAUUUCUAAGUGACCCCAAACAUUUGAACAGUAGUGGAUAUUUAAUAUUUUGUAUAUAUCAAGUUGUAGAAAUAUCUCAAGGAUGAUCAUUGGAAACAGGAAGCAUCUGAACUCAAUUUUGAGUCUCUUGUUUAAAUUUUUAUUUUUAUACAUUUGCAAAAAUGUCUAAUCCUGUUUUCACUUUGUCAAUAUGGGGUAUUGUGUGUAAAUUGCUGAGGAUAUAUUUUUAUUUAAUUAUAGAAUUAGGCUUGAACAUAACAAUGUGGAAAAGUCAAGGGGUCUGAAUACUUUCCGAGGGCACUGUCAGACCCCUUCCCAUUUUGGUACGUUACAGCCUUCUUCUAAAAUUGAUUCCAUGUUUUUCCUCGUCAAUCUACACACAAUACCCCAUAAUGACAAAGCCAAAACAGGUUUUUAGAAAGUCUUGCAAAUGCAAUUUAAAAAAAAAAUUGUUUUGCUUAUUUACAUACGUUUUCAGACCCUUUGCUAUGAGAUGAUCCUUGAGAUGUUUUUUCAACUUGGAGUCCACCUGUGGUAAAUUCAAUUGAUUGGACAUGAUUUGGACAGGCACACACCUGUCUAUGUCAGGUCCCACAUUUGACACUGCAUGUCAGAGUUAAAACCAAGUCAUGAGGUGGAAUGAUUUGUCCGUGGAGCUCCGUGACAGGAUUGUGUCGGCACAGAUCUGGAGACCGGUACCAAAACAUUUCUGCAGCAUUAAAGGUCCCAAGAACACAGAGGCCUCCAUUAUUCUUCAAUGGAAGAAGUUUGUAACCACCAAGACUCUUCCGAGAGCUGUCCACCUGGCCAAACUGAGCAAUCGGGGGAGAAGGGCCUUGGUCAGGGAGGUGGCCAAGAACCCUGAUGGUCACUCUGGCAGAGCUCCAGAGUUCCUCUAUGGAGACGAGAGAAUCUUCCAGAAGGACAAUCAUCUCGGCAGGACUCCACUAAUCAUGUCUUUAUGGUCGAGUGCCCAGACGGAAGCCACUCCUCAGUAAAAGGCACAUGACAGUCCACUUGUAAUUUGCCAAAAGGUACCUAAAGGACUCUGACCAUGAGCUUGAGAGGAUCUGCAGAGAAGAAUGGGAGAAACUCCCCAAAUACAAUUGUGCCAAGCUUGUAGCUUCAUACCCAACAAGACUCAAGGCUGUAAUCGAUGCCAAAGGUGCUUCAACUGACUAUUGUGUAAAGGGUCUGAAUACUUACAUAAAUGUCAUGUUAUUUCUAAAAACCUGUUUUUGCCCUUGUCAUUAUGGGUAUUGUGUGUCGACUGAUGAGAAUUAGAAUAAGACUGUAAUGUAACAAAACCAAAAAGCCAAGGGGUCUGAAUACUUUUGGAAUGCAUUAUAGACGUUAUUUCAUGCUACUAAGACUUGUAUGGAUGACAACAGUAUUGUCAGCAUUUGUUUUAUUCACUGGUCUAUCUGGAGUGAUCAGAGUGUAGACUAAAGAAGUGGAGUAGACAAACUGCCAGUGUUUUUGAAGUUCUAUGAAAUGAGUCUGUGUAGUUACUAACCCCCUUUGUCACGAGAAUUUCUAUCCCAAUGUUCCACCUGAACUAUUUUAUAACUCCAUCUGUAUCCUAGAGGUUGUAAGGCUCGAAGUUUUAAUAAACAGAGUCCCAGCAUACAAA